rnacentral:lncRNA from 1 species
GCUCUGCGUGCGGGAGGCUGCGCUUUCAGUCAUUAUUUGGAUUUCGUUUUCCACAUGAAAAUAUUUAGAGAUCCAGCUCUUGGAAGCCAAGGAGAAACUGGCUUUUAAGGUAAAGGAAGGCAAGUUUGCCGAGGUGAUGGGAAGACACCUUGCAACUGCGAAACCUCCAAAUUUACCGGUAGAACCUGGCACACAGCUUUUGCCGUCGUUUGGAGAAUUACUGCGUGCACUGCCGUUCGCUCAGAGCCAUUGUGCACGUUUGUUUCUCUGAUCACUAACAGCCUGCACGUUUCCAGCGUUUCCAGUUUCCAGCGUUGUAUGGGGAUUUCCACGUGUUUCAGUCGCUUAUUAGCUUUUGUGGCUUCAGGGUGAGCCGUGGCGUCUGAGACACCCAGCCACAUCGUUCCGCUGUGGGCGGGGCAUUGAAGACAGGUCUGAAAACGUUCCAGCUCUUGCUGGAAGGGACGUCAUUUCUGAACACGUGAGGGGUCUGAGUUUCUUUACGACAGCAGCUUCUAUUGAGCGAAAUGUACCAUGGCUACUGUGACGUAUCCUGACUAAUGCCGACAGCACAGGGAGCCUUUGCCUGCCGGAGGAAGCGGUGAGGAAGAGGUGGUGCGUCGUGCACUUCCUGUUGCUGUUUUAGGACAGCUUGGACGUAGUUUGUUCCAGGGAAGUGCUGCUGAACCAGGUAAACCCAGCCCCCCAUCUCCAGGAGCAGAGGCUGCAAGGACAGGAAGACAAUGAGGCAAUGGUGUGCUGGGGGAAUCGUGCUAAAGUGAAAGCAUCCUUCGAUCAUUUUUAAGUCAUUCUAGGAUCUUCAGGGCAUCAAAGUUUUGCCUGUGAGCCUCAAUUGGUCUAAUACAAAAAUACAGACUGUGGUUAAUCAUCU